CCUACGGGGGGCAGCAGUGAGGAAUAUUGGUCAAUGGGCGCAAGCCUGAACCAGCCAAGUAGCGUGAAGGAUGACUGCCCUACGGGUUGUAAACCUCUUUUAUAAAGGAAUAAAGUGAGGCACGUGUGCCGUUUUGCAUGUACUUUAUGAAUAAGGAUCGGCUAACUCCGUGCCAGCAGCCGCGGUAAUACGGAGGAUCCGAGCGUUAUCCGGAUUUAUUGGGUUUAAAGGGAGCGUAGAUGGGUUGUUAAGUCAGUUGUGAAAGUUGGCGGCUCAACCGUAGAAGUGCAAUUGAUACUGGCAGGCUUGAGUACAGUUGAGGUAGGCGGAAUUCGUGGUGUAGCGGUGAAAUGCUUAGAUAUCACGAAGAACCCCGAUUGCGAAGGCAGCUUACUGGACUGUGACUGACGUUGAGGCUCGAAAGUGUGGGUAUCAAACAGGAUUAGAUACCCGAGUAGUC
rnacentral:rRNA from 1 species